AUUGAACGCUGGCGGCAGGCCUAACACAUGCAAGUCGAGCGGAUGAAGGGAGCUUGCUCCUGGAUUCAGCGGCGGACGGGUGAGUAAUGCCUAGGAAUCUGCCUGGUAGUGGGGGAUAACGUCCGGAAACGGGCGCUAAUACCGCAUACGUCCUGAGGGAGAAAGUGGGGGAUCUUCGGACCUCACGCUAUCAGAUGGGCCUAGGUCGGAUUAGCUAGUUGGUGGGGUAAAGGCCUACCAAGGCGACGAUCCGUAACUGGUCUGAGAGGAUGAUCAGUCACACUGGAACUGAGACACGGUCCAGACUCCUACGGGAGGCAGCAGUGGGGAAUAUUGGACAAUGGGCGAAAGCCUGAUCCAGCCAUGCCGCGUGUGUGGAGAAGGUCUUCGGAUUGUAAAGCACUUUAAGUUGGGAGGGAGGGCAGUAAGUUAAUACCUUGCUGUUUUGACGUUACCAACAGAAUAAGCACCGGCUAACUUCGUG
rnacentral:rRNA from 1 species